rnacentral:rRNA from 1 species
AACGAACGCUGGCGGCGUGCUUAACACAUGCAAGUCGAACGCGAACGGGUUCUUCGGGACCUUAGUAGAGUGGCGCACGGGUGAGUAACGCGUAAGUUAUCUACCUCGGCAUCUGGAAUAACUCACCGAAAGGUGUGCUAAUACCGGAUACGUUGAGUAAUCAAGAAAGGUGGCCUCUCUUUGAUGCUACCGUGCUGAGAUGAGCUUGCGUACCAUUAGCUAGUUGGUGGGGUGAUGGCCUACCAAGGCGACGAUGGUUAGCGGGUCUGAGAGGAUGAUCCGCCACACUGGAACUGGAACACGGACCAGACUCCUACGGGAGGCAGCAGUGAGGAAUAUUGCGCAAUGGGGGCAACCCUGACGCAGCGACGCCGCGUGGAUGAUGAAGGCCUUCGGGUCGUAAAAUCCUGUCAGGUGGAAAGAAAUGUAUAUGUGCUAAUACCAUGUAUACUUGACGGUACCACCGAAGGAAGCACCGGCUAACUCCGUGCCAGCCGCCGCCGUAA